AUUUGAAAUGCGUUCUUUUGAAUCUGGCUUCCCUGUGUCUGUGAAGUUGAUCUCGUCAUGAAGAGCAGUGGUGUAUCCUUUCAUGUGCUGGGCCAGCUUCCCACUGUAUGCAUACACAUAUCUUGAAACACAGAAGACGGAAGAACGGAAAGAGAUAUGUGCUCUACAUGCCCUGGACACCAGUGGUACAAUCUGCUAAUUGGAGUCCAAUGACCAAUUAAGUAGGAAGCAAC